rnacentral:rRNA from 1 species
UAAAGCUCCUUCGACGAGUCGAGUAGUUUGGGAGUGCUGCUCAAAAUGGGAGGUAAAUUUCUUCUAAAGCUAAAUACCGGCCAGAGACCGAUAGCGCACAAGUAGAGUGAUCGAAAGAUGAAAAGCACUUUGAAAAGAGGGUUAAAUAGCACGUGAAAUUGUUGAAAGGGAAGCGCUUGUGACCAGACUUGCGCCGGGCUGAUCAUCCGGUGUUCUCACCGGUGCACUCUGCCCGGCUCAGGCCAGCAUCGGUUCUCGCGGGGGGAUAAAGGCCCAGGGAACGUAGCUCCUCCGGGAGUGUUAUAGCCCUGGGUGUAAUGCCCUCGCGGGGACCGAGGUUCGCGCAUCUGCAAGGAUGCUGGCGUAAUGGUCACCAGCGACCCGUCUUGAAACACGGACCAAGGAGUCAAGGUUUUGCGCGAGUGUUUGGGUGUAAAACCCGCACGCGUAAUGAAAGUGAACGUAGGUGAGAGGCUUCGGCGCAUCAUCGACCGAUCCUGAUGUUUUCGGAUGGAUUUGAGUAGGAGCGUUAAGCCUUGGACCCGAAAGAUGGUGAACUAUGCUUGGAUAGGGUGAAGCCAGAGGAAACUCUGGUGGAGGCUCGCAGCGGUUCUGACGUGCAAAUCGAUCGUCAAAUCUGAGCAUG